CUCGAGAGGCAUCGCUGCGCCUUCCGACUGAGUAUGUCAGAGCGAACUGGAAGGAGGAUGAUGCAGAUUCACCUAUAGCCAUCUGUUUUGCUCACAGCAGCUUCUUCAGGGGCACGGCGCCACGUGCACCUGGGUUCAGGGGUCAGGUAAUCCUGGUGCA